rnacentral:rRNA from 1 species
GCAACCUGCCCGAAGACCGGGACAACAGUGAGAAAUCGCUGCUAAUACCGGAUGUGGCCUGCCUUUCGUCAUGGAGGGCAGAUUAAAUCCCUUGUGGGCUUUCGGAGGGGCUUGCGGCCUAUCAGGUAGGUUGGCGGGGUAACGGCCCACCAAGCCGACGACGGGUAGCUGGUCUGAGAGGAUGGUCAGCCGGACUGGGACUGAGAUACGGCCCAG